GAGAUAUCAGAAGACUGAAGGAGUUGUGAUGGAUGUACUGUAUGAGAAAAUGGAAGUGCUGGAAAUAAACUUGGGGAAAUCAUAAAAUCGUAGGAGGUGGUUAGAUGAGUUCAUUGCUUUCCUCAGUGCAUGAAUUUCUAUGGCCAGUCACAGGAAAAGGCUUUCCUUAGGAACAUUUCUGCGGUGCAAGUUUCCGCUGUCAGUGCUCCAAGCCCAACUGUGACCACAUUGCUGCAGCUGGCGCUGGGCUGGAUAUGAUCACCCCAAAACUUCAGAGAAACAGAGUCCAUUUAGAGGGGACUUUCAGCUGCAGUUACAGUGCUGAGGAAAUGCCUGCUUCUUAAAGACGUACAGUGGUAUGUAGCUCCAAGCCAGCGCCCUGAUUGCUGUUACUCACACUGCAAUAUUGGACUCUGUGCCCUCCUUCUCUUCCUAAAAGGGCUACUCCUAGUCCUCACGAGACAGUGCAGUCUGGGAAGGCGACUGAGAAAUAAAAGAUCCUCUGCUAAUCCCAAAAGAAAACAAACACUGCAGGUACAAUUCCACUGUUGUGACCUACUGUUCAUUCACACAUUCCUCUCUUUUACUUUAUCUGGAAGUCAAUCUGCAGCGCAGCAGCAUUGCCUUCUCAGUAUCAACAGUGGAAGGAGAUGUGACUCAGGUAAAAGGGAGAAGGUUCAACCUCCCACUGCUCAGUCAACCCAGGAUCAAGCAGGAAGCAGUACAGUAAACAAAAAUUGCCUGGAUUGAAAAGGACCAUAAUGAUCAUGGAGUUUCAACCCCCUCAUUUUCUCAAGAAGUAUUUCUAGGUUUCUCAGUGGUUCCUCUCAGCCAAGAUGGCAGCGCCUCUGGGAGGAGCAGCGGAGAGGAACAAGUACAUACUGAUCAUGGCCUCCCAUUCCCCACCCUUCAGCAGAGUGGUAAAGGUAUUGGGACAGGGAGGAGGAAGGAUAUAGGUAUAGUAUUUAUUUCUCACUCGUUACCUGAAUCUAUUUUGAUUAGCAAUAAAUUAACUUUCCCCAAGCCAACUCUGUUUUCCCCAUGGCAAUCAUUGGUAAGUUAUCUCCCUGAAUCUAUCUCAACCAAAGAGCUGUCCCAUCCUAUUUUCUCACUGUUCCAAUGAGGAUGGGGAAUGAGUGAGCAGCUGGAUAGGAACUUGCUGUUUGCCAAGGCAUGGUAUGUGAGUUUUACACAUCUUAAUACUUAGGUGACAGAUCAGUAGUCAUCUAAUAAAAAACGUUCCCUUAAAAUUUCUCUGAGAAAUCAUCAAAGAUCACAAAUGCUUUUUUUACACAAAACUUAGGCCAUUUUCUGCAAUCCAAAUUGUUUUAGAUUUCAUUUGUAUUUCUUAAAGUUUUUAAUAUAAUAAAAAAUGGGGUUGAGGUUCUGGUCCUUCUAUACUAAAUAAGUACAGUUUGGGUUGUGUAUUAGCAAAAAGUUCUUGACUGAAAAGGUGGUCAGGCACUGGAACUGGCUCCCCAGGGCAGCGGUCAAGGCCCCAGGCUUCUGUAAUUCAAGAAACAUUUGGACAGCGCCCUCAGACAUAGAAAUUGAAUUUUG
ensembl:lncRNA